rnacentral:misc_RNA from 1 species
CCUACUGCACCACCUCCUCUGCCUUUCUCUUCCUGAUCUCCAUUCUCAAUCAUAACCACACCUCCAUUAUACACUUAACUAAAACUAGCUGCGGCUUUUUAAGCAGCCCCUGGAUUUAGUGGCUGAAUAUAUAUAGCUAAAUUUUGUAACGGAAGUUAUUCCACACAUGGGCAACGCCGACUGCGUCUAUCCGACCUCUAACGUGGAGUAUGCUCAUCGAGUGGCCAUUCCUCCGCCGCAGCCUUUUGUCAAGUCGCUGAAAUAUAAUUUGAAAGAGACUUUCUUUCCUGAUGAUCCACUUAGGCAGUUCAAGAACCAACCUCCUUCUCGGAAACUCAUAUUAGGCCUCCAAUAUUUCUUGCCAAUUCUUAAAUGGGCUCCUCGUUAUAAUUUGGAGUUCUUGAAAGCUGAUCUUAUUGCUGGCAUCACUAUUGCUAGUCUUGCUAUCCCUCAAGGGAUAAGUUACGCAAAAUUAGCUAACUUGCCACCAAUUCUUGGCCUCUAUUCAAGCUUUGUUCCACCACUGGUUUAUGCAAUGAUGGGAAGUUCACGAGAUUUGGCAGUAGGGACAGUGGCUGUUGCAUCUCUCCUAACAGCUUCUAUGCUAGGAAAUGAGGUUAAUGCUAAUGAGAACCCCAAGCUUUAUCUUCACCUAGCCUUCACAGCAACAUUCUUUGCUGGAGUUUUCCAAGCGUCUCUGGGCCUGUUAAGGCUAGGAUUUAUCGUGGACUUUCUUUCACAUGCAACGAUAGUAGGUUUUAUGGCAGGAGCAGCAACAGUAGUUUGCCUGCAACAGCUAAAAGGAAUAUUGGGUCUUGAUCAUUUCACCCAUGCCACUGAUGUUGUCUCAGUCAUGCGUUCUGUUUUCACUCAAACGCAUCAGUGGAGAUGGGAAAGUGCGGUUCUUGGGUGUUGCUUUCUGUUCUUCCUUCUCACCACCAGAUAUUUCAGCAAGAGACGACCAAAGUUCUUCUGGAUAUCAGCAAUGGCACCUUUGACAUCAGUUGUUUUGGGAAGCCUUCUUGUUUAUCUUACACAUGCUGAGAGACAUGGAGUUCAAGUGAUUGGACACUUGAAGAAAGGGUUAAAUCCACCGUCCUUCGGUGACCUGGUUUUUGUGUCUCCUCAUCUGACGACAGCUAUCAAAACAGGCAUCAUCACUGGCGUCAUAGCUCUGGCUGAAGGAAUAGCAGUGGGAAGAAGCUUUGCCAUGUUCAAGAAUUACCAUAUCGAUGGUAACAAAGAGAUGAUUGCUAUUGGGACUAUGAACAUUGUAGGUUCCUGUACUUCCUGCUACCUCACAACAGGGCCAUUUUCGCGAUCGGCAGUGAAUUUCAAUGCUGGAUGCAAGACAGCAGUAUCAAACAUUGUUAUGGCUUUGGCUGUGAUGAUGACACUCUUGUUCCUGACUCCUUUGUUCCAUUACACUCCACUUGUGGUGCUUUCCUCUAUUAUCAUAUCUGCUAUGCUCGGCCUCAUCGAUUACGAAGCAGCAAUCCAUCUAUGGAACGUUGACAAGUUCGACUUCAUUGUGUGCAUUAGCGCCUAUGUGGGUGUGGUUUUUGGCAGUGUUGAGAUGGGCUUGGUCUUAGCGGUGGCAAUUUCUUUGCUAAGGGUGCUUCUGUUUGUUGCAAGACCAAGAACUUUUAUUCUUGGGAACAUUCCAAAUUCGAUCAUCUACAGAAAUGUUGAACAAUACCCAAAUGCAAGUACUGUUCCCGGAGUUCUCAUACUUGAGAUUGAUGCUCCAAUUUACUUUGCCAAUUCAAGCUACCUGAGAGAGAGGUUGAUAUUUAUUGCUAUAUUGCAAAAGCUUCAUAUAUAUAUGUAUAUAUAUGCUUUAAUUUCAUGAGACUGUGAGCUCACCAUAAGGCCUACAAUAACAGGAUCUCAAGGUGGAUUGAUGAAGAGGAAGACAGGAUAAAAUCUUCAGCAGAAACCAGCCUGCAGUAUGUAAUACUGGACAUGAGUGGUAGGUACAUGGAAAUGCUUUUGAUUUUCUUCUUGAACAUGAAGUUGCAAAGGAAAGGCAAAUUCACUGUGUUAUGCUCCUUUUGUUCUUGUUCGGCAGCUGUUGGUAACAUCGACACAAGUGGAAUCAGCAUGUUUGAGGAAGUUAAGAAAAUUACUGAUAGAAGAGGGCUCAAGGUACAUCUUUUUUCAUUUUUAAAGGUUUUAUUUAUUAGAUUUGCUUUUAUAUAUACUAAUAUGUUGUUACUUUUUCACUCGUUAUCUAUAUAGCUUGUAUUGGCCAACCCUGGAUCCGAGGUGAUGAAGAAACUAAACAAGUCCAAGUUCAUCGAGAACAUAGGCCAAGAAUGGAUCUUUUUGACAGUAGGAGAAGCGGUGGCAGCAUGCAACUUCAUGCUUCACACAUGCAAGCCAAACUCUAUGAAAGAUGAUCAAUCUGAGGCAUAUAACAAUGUCUAAGCUACAACUUCAAUCAUUUGAUGGGCAGAAGCAAGAGUUUUUCUUCAUAUAUAGACAGGCAGUGUGCAAUCAAUUAGGAAUUAACAUAUGCAUCGUAAAAUCAACAGGAAUUGAAGUGAAGCCCAAGUUGAUCUGAUGGAUGCUUUUUAGAUGUUUCUUUCCCCAACAAUGUAGAAGUUGCACAAUAUGCUUCUUUUAUACAUGAAAAUUCAAGGGCAGAGCUUUUAAGGCUCCUGCACAUGCUAUUAGUGUUUGUUUCAAUUUUGUUCAUAUGCGCAGGAUUGGUCAAAUUAGCCACUUUUUUUAUUUUUUAAUUUUUUAAAAUCUGGAAAGAAAAGUUUUUGUUUCAUAUGCAGCAGAAAUUUUUAUAACAUGGGUAAAAAUUAAAGACUAAAGAGGAUCACUUAGCAAGGGACAAAGACAUUGAAUGAUCGUUUUCUCCUAGCAGUGGAGUUCUAGUUUGGUAUCUGUGUCGGAGUCACUGUUUUGAAACUAAAACCUUUGAUCGGCAUUAAUUUCUAGCUCUUAAUUCUCUACCCACUAUUCCCCAACUCCCCAUCUUCAGUCUAUCUAUCUUUUCUACAAUCCUCUUCUAUUAUGAAUCCAACUGAACAUACCCUUUCAGACAUCAUUACCAUGGCAGAAUCUCUCAGUUGUGAAGAACCAUCUCUUGAAUUGAUAUCAAGUGCGGAUGCAGGAAGAAAGCACACAAAUGACAAAUUGAUCGCAAAAGUAAUAUCAGCAAAAAAGUAUAGUCCAUGUGUGUUGAGAUCCACCUUUAGCAAGAUUUGGUGUAAUCAAGUGGAGUUUCAAGUGACGCGAGGUCCUAUGGGGCUAUUCAUCUUUGGGUUUGCUAGAUAACAGAUAGUAGAGCAAAUUCUAAAGAGAGGGCCAUGGUUAAUCGACAACAAUCUUAUAAUUCUGAAGAAAAGGCCUCCGGACAAAAUGCCUCAAGAGAUUGACUUUUCCACAAGUAGCUGUUGGGUGCAAAUUCAAGGGCUACCACCAAGCACUUGGAAUAAAGAAAAUGCAGAAAGGAUUAGUCGGCUAUUUGAAGGUCUCAUUGAGGUAGAUGAAUCAAGAACAAAUUCUGAAGGUUGGUCAUCUUAUUUGCGGAUCAAAGUGUGGUUAGAUGUAAAUAAACCUACGGGGUUCUUUCAUUCGAAGGAUGGGAUCAAAAAAGAUUGGGUGCGAUUCAAGUAUGAAAAGAUACCUACGUUUUGCUUCAGAUGUGGGCGUAUUGGCCAUAUUAUGAGAACGUGUCCAGAAAGCCUCAUUCCUCUGUCUCAAUUAGAGCAAUCCAGCAAAACGCUCAAGUUUGGUCCAUGGCUAAAAGCAAACAAUAAUCUGGGUAAUCCUUCUAUUUCCAGUAACCUGAUUCAACACUCACAUGCCCAGGGUGUCUUGCAAGGAUCAAAUAGAGUCCUCAAACUUCGAUGCAGCCAAGAUCCAGCUUCGCCGAUAGCCAUCCCAGAGGCGCGUCCUCAUGAUGCUCUGCCAUCGCUAGCAUUGUCUCUUUCAUCGAGGCAAACUGAGAGUAUUAAUUAUAAUACCUCGACCUUCAAAGAAGAGAAGUCGAAGGACAGUAAGCAAUCUUCAAGUAUAUGCUCUAGUACACUUCUCAAGGAAGUCUUAAGCCGUAAAAAUGUGAAACAAUCUAUAUGCCUCCCACAAGCGCUUGUGAUUUCAGAUGACAGAUUAAUCUCUGAGCAACACAUACU